rnacentral:rRNA from 1 species
GAGAUCCAACCAGUGGCAACACUGGGGAAGAUCUAGUGGCGAACGGGUGAGUAACACGUGAGGAACCUGCCCCGAAGUCUGGGAUAAGCCCUCGAAAGGGGGUCUAAUACCGGAUGUCCUCAUCAGGUCGCAUGGCCGGAUGAGGAAAGGUCCGCUGCUUCGGGAGGGCCUUGCGGCCUAUCAGCUUGUUGGUGAGGUAACGGCUCACCAAGGCUACGACGGGUAGCUGGUCUGAGAGGACAAUCAGCCACACUGGGACUGAGACACGGCCCAGACUCCUACGGGAGGCAGCAGUGGGGAAUCUUGCGCAAUGGGCGAAAGCCUGACGCAGCAACGCCGCGUGCGGGAUGACGGCCUUCGGGUUGUAAACCGCUUUCAGUGGGGACGAAAUCAGACGGUACCCACAGAAGAAGCCCCGGCCAACUACGUGCCAGCAGCCGCGGUAACACGUAGGGGGCGAGCGUUGUCCGGAUUCAUUGGGCGUAAAGCGCGCGUAGGCGGCCCGGUAAGUCCGCUGUAAAAGUCAAAGGCUCAACCUUUGAAAGCCGGUGGAUACUGUCGGGCUAGAGUCCGGAAGAGGCGAGUGGAAUUCCUGGUGUAGCGGUGGAAUGCGCAGAUAUCAGGAGGAACACCAACGGCGAAGGCAGCUCGCUGGGACGGUACUGACGCUGAGGCGCGAAAGCGUGGGGAGCGAACAGGAUUAGAUACCCUGGUAGUCCACGCCGUAAACGAUGGGUGCUAGGUGUGGGCGGUGUCGACUCCGUCCGUGCCGAAGCUAACGCAUUAAGCACCCCGCCUGGGGAGUACGGCCGCAAGGCUAAAACUCAAGGAAUUGACGGGGGCCCGCACAAGCAGCGGAGCAUGUGGUUUAUGUCGACGCAACGCGAAGAACCUUACCAAGGCUUGACAUGCACCGGAAACCUCUGGAAACAGGGGCUCCCUUCGGGGCCGGUGCACAGG